rnacentral:rRNA from 1 species
AUUGAACGCUGGCGGCGUGCUUUACACAUGCAAGUCGAACGGCAGCACGGGUGCUUGCACCUGGUGGCGAGUGGCGAACGGGUGAGUAUAACAUCGAGACGUACCUAUUAGAGUGGGAUAACUGAUCGAAAGAUUGGCUAAUACCGCAUAAUCUCUGAGGAGGAAAGCUGGGGAUCUGAAAGGACCUGGCGCUGAUAGAGCGGUCGAUGGUUGAUUAGCUAGUUGGUAAGGUAAAGGCUUACCAAGGCGAAGAUCAAUAGCUGUUCUGAGAGGAAGAUCAGCCACACUGGGACUGAGACACGGCCCAGACUCCUACGGGAGGCAGCAGUGGGGAAUUUUGGACAAUGGGGGAAACCCUGAUCCAGCAACGCCGCGUGAAUGAAGAAGGCCUUAGGGUUGUAAAGUUCUUUAGUCUGGGGACAAGAAUUAGCGGGUAAUAUACGUUAAUGAUGAGAGUACCAGAAGAAUAAGCACCGGCUAACUACGUGCC